rnacentral:piRNA from 1 species
UGGUGACUUGAGUGGGUAUCCAUGA